AGCACUUUGGGAGGCCAAGGCGGGUGGAUCACAAGCUCAGGAGUUCGAGACCAGCCUGAGCGAAAUGGUGAAAUCACGUCUCUACGAAAAGUACAAAAAUUAGCCAGGUUUAGUGGUGCGUGCCUCUAGUCCCAGCUACUGGGGGGCUGCGGUGAAAGGAUUCCUUGAGGAGGUCACAGCUGCAGUAAGACCUGUUUGCACCACUGCACUCCAGCCUUGGGGACAGAAUGAGACCCUGUCUCAAA